ensembl:lncRNA
AUUUAUAUUGUAAUAUAAUGUAUUUAUUAUAUCAUAUAUCAUAAUAUAUAUCAUAUUAUGACUAUUGUUUAAUAUUUAUAUAGUUCUAUACAUAUUAAUUAAUAUAAUGAAUUGUUUGAAUAAAACAAAUAAGAAUGUUAAACUGUUGGAAUAAUGCAUGUUUUUUUUUUUUUGCUCUCCCCUUCCAAUCAUUCAGUUUGUGUCCUUUGGCUUGAGAAAACCUGAUGUCUGUGAACGGCAUAAUUGACAUAUCAAUGUUUCGCAGGCCUGUCUCAAGACAGACACUUAAGCUUUUUAUUACCCGUGGCUAAAUGACUAACUUAGUUAGUCACUUAGCGAGUGUGGACAAGAUGAGACUUUAAACACGUAACCUGCUCUGAAUCAUAUUGGUAUCCCACUGCUUCCGAUGCAGGCAGAGCCGAAACAGCUGCACUGACCUUACUGUUGUUGUAUUCAAAAAUGAAGAAACGCCGGACGGACAGAGGUCAUCGCAGAUCAAAAGGUUCAAAUCAAAUGUAUUUAAUAAAAGAGAUGGUGUGAAAAUCUCAGAUGAGGAGCCGCUGGUCUCAGCAACCAACAGGCCCCAGGUCAGUCCUUUGACCCCCCAUAGUGCCCGUCUGAUGUCUCCACCAGCGAACUCCAGAACAAUGGUUCCUACAGGUAUUAAUGCUUAAAAGUAUACAAUGCUUAAAAGGUGUGAAAGUUAGUGUCCACACCUCUGGGAGUGGUCUUCUGGUGAGUUCAAUGUAACUCGGAUUCUGAAUGGCCCUUAGUCAAUAUCAGUUGUUGUUGUUACAUUACAUGUCAUUUAGCAGACGCUUUUAUCCAAAGCGACUGACAUUACACUUUUAACCCACGGCUUUUCACAUUUUGCCCAGGGAGCAAUUAGGGGUUAGGUGUCUUGCUCAGGGACACUGCGACUUGAGACAUCGGGACUCGAACCACCAACCUUGCGGUUCCCAGCACACCCGCUCUACCCCCUGCGCCACGACGACCCCUAGUGCAAGUAUUACAUGCAUGCAUUCCAGUUGAUUACAUUACAUCAAAUACAAUCAUAAAUGCACAUUGGUAUUAUUCUAUUACAGUUGCAGAAUUACAGUGGUUUUACAAUAUUGUCAUUACUUUAUUGAUAAGUUUCAGAAUCAUGGCUGUAUUCUGGUGUACACUAUAUGCAUUUUUAUUAAUUUUAUGAACCGGGUCGUCAAUUUGUUUCUAAUAUCCUACACUGCCCCUCCGCCGCUGACUCUCCCCGUUUGCCGUUGUCGGCAACCUGGGAAAUCUCUGGCUCCUUUCAUCUCCCGGUACCACCCGGGUGGAGGGUUGAACAACUGGUAGCACCACUGUCAACACCUCCCUGUGCACGACCACGGACGGCUCAGCUCAGCCUUGUGGCAAACAUAGCGCAGAUUAGCGGGCCGGGCAGUUCUCUUCCCAAUCAUGUCCAACAGCAUUAGCACGUGCUAACUCAAGGGCGUGCGUGAGAGCCAGCUGUCAAGUGGAGGGAAUUCCCAGGACUUCACCCAAGGUCACUCCCACCAUUCAAAGCAACGGCGCCCACGCGAGGGGUUAACUCGGUAUCGCCAACAGUUUAGCUUGGAUGUGCUGGCAUGCUCGCAUGGAAGGCCUUAACUGGUGCUUUAACGUCACACCACAGGGCGACGAGUGAGUGAUUGUCAGCUGUCACCAGAACACUGUGUGCCGUACGACCAGGGGGCCACAGGGAAGGCAAACUAACUAAAGCACAGCACUUCAUUGUAACCCAUUUAAAGAGCACAGAUGUCUUUAGUUUUAAACACUACCUCAUGAUUUACUUAUUGUAAGUCGCUCUGGAUAAAAACCUCACUUAAUCAGAUCCGAUGAGAUGAACACCAGGACAGCUUUACAUUGUUAUAUUGUUAAUAACAACAAUUUCCAGGAGCAAUAACUGCAUUUUCAAGCUUGGCUUUCAUGCCUACAUACUUUGCCUUGAAGUCAGUGGUUGAGACAAGUGUUGCCAGACCGACUUGUUGUUUAGCUGAGUUACCUGAUUCAGGAGAAGGGACAUUUAUGAGGGAAAGAGAGGAUCGGGAAAACUCCUUUGGACCACAGAGGCGAGCGGUUUCCUGCGUGAGCUCGUGCUGCUGUUUCUUCUUGCCGUCCCGUCACCCAGCUUCCACUCAUCUUCCCCUUUGACUCUUGCAUGGGAUUUGUGAGUACUGACUAUCUUGCACCUGCUUUUUGUUCAUUGCCGGUAUGGACAAGUUUUAAGCCUCUACGCUCCCAAGCAACGACUCAGGCCUGUAACGAGGAUUUUGUUUGUCACGUGUGUGUGAGAAAGUGGGGGGCAUAUUCUAUUGAUGUUCAUGUGUAAUGAAUGUCAAACUGUUGUUGUUAAAUGCCUUUGAAGUCUGUUUGCUGCGUUGAAGUCCAGUAUAAGAAUGUUCUGGUAAGAGCUGUUUAAAGGUGGAAACAUACCAUUCAAAUAUGAGAUAAAGAGACUUAAUAAGAGGCAUUAUUUAUCAAAUGCUAUUGGAGGCACCGCCAGUUAUUAGUUUGCAAUAUAGGGGAAUUACAAUUAUAAGACAAAUGUAUUAAUGUAUAUUUUUUAAUAUAUUAAGUUAUAUUUAAAGCCAAUGAUUGGGCUAACCUACAUUUUACUUUUUAUUGUGAUCUUAAAUGACAAAUAGACAUGUAACAUAUCAAUAGAAAAAUGUAAAAUAUAUCAAGAUAUCCUAAUACAUCGGAUGGGUAGAUAAAGGCAAAAUAUGUCUAAAAAAAUAAAGCUUUUUUUUAGUAAUUAUCUAUUUGCCACUUAGCUUGUGUGAGUGCUCUUUGCUGAUAGUAUGCACACGGAGUCACACACAAAAGAAUUACUAUCGCAGAACUCUGGAUUCCAGCUCACAUUCCUUGUCUGUCUCAAAAUUGACAUUUUUUUCGCUUCUGUGUUGGCUUCCAAAACGCAGAUGAGUACAAUAUUACCGCCACAAACUAAAUCCUAAUAAUGACAUUUUUCACUCUGCUUGCAAGAGGGAGCAAAUAGCUUGAGCACUAAGUCAGUGUUGUAUAGAGUCGGUUGGCUUUAGACAAAUUUAACAACUUCAUGUUGAUUUUAAUUACAGCCAACAGGUCUGUGCAUGCAACAUUGAAAGCACAAAAACACACAGAAGGCUACAUUUCAGACACGUUGUCCACUCUAUAUUUCCCUCUGUCACUCUCUCUCGCCCCCGGUUGCCCCCUCCUUCACUUUAAUCCAGUGGUGGAAUUUCACUGAGAAAGCGAUCAAAGACGAGACGUGCGAUGCCAGGUGCUGGCGGCUGCAGCUUCAACUGUUGACAGCCACCACCCAGCAAUUUCUCCUCCUUUCCCUUUCUCCUCUUCUUAGGAGGAACCUACACAAAGCUCGGCUGAACUGCGGCGUGUGUUUUGAGUCUGAAAAAACAGUUUCUUACCCCCACCUCCACUAUUUUUAAGACUUUUAUUUUUCUUUCCCAGAAGGGGAAGUAUGAGUAUGUUUUCCUCCUUUUUUUUGACACUGAUCUGUGUUACCUAGUCUCCCGUCUCCCUCAGCGCUCGACGUGGUGGCCGGUUUGAAGAGUUCUGUGACAGAAAAUUACGACACUCUUGAGACAGGCGACCAGCAGGAGUUGUGGAACAGAGAGAGAGGAUGCACAACAGGGAUUAGGCUUUAUUAAGACUCAGCCAACCACAGAUGGGCACAACAACACAGCGUGCGCGUGUGUGUCAGUGGAUAAGUGAAGGAUACGGCUCAAAGUAUCUUUCUCAACCUACGGGCGGUCCGCCACUGAAGUAAGAUACACAUCGACUCUAAUAGGUACCUUAGCUCAAAAAGUGUCGCUUCACUUGUUGAGAGAACGUCACCACACUACACUGCCGCUGUGUCUGCGAUCAAUCAGGUUGAGAUGAUGGAUUUUUAUUAUUUGUGGGUAUUUUCCGAACUUCUUUUUUUCACACAUAUUGUCUCAUAAUACAUUAUUUAUCAUCCAUUUUUCCGAAAACAGACAGAAUGCACAUCAUACUGUUCACUACUAAACAGGAAAGAAGGUGAUACUGUGAAUAAGAAGGGAACAGUCACUGUGAAUUCAGCCGUUAGUUAUGGUUUUGAAUCCUGCAUUUUCUGAUCUGGCUUUUGAAAUGUGAGUAGCUUUUAUUGUAAAGUUGUCGUAAAUGAAAAAAGCAAGUUAUUCUGAAGACAUUACCAUGAUCCAAUUAAUAUUUUACACAUUGAUCAACAAUAAAGCAAUUAAAUAGAUACCCUGUUUUUUUGUGUCUACAAAUGUGCCCAUUUCUUAACCAUCUACUCUCUGCUGCACUGGAGCCUGACAGACAAUAACAGGCGGAUCAUACACAUCAUAGAAACAUGUAAAUGUUUAUCUGUAAAACCUGCUCACUUUUGGCACCGCUGCAGUUCGACAGAAAUAUAUUUCAAGUAACUGCAAAAACAGCUUCAUACCCAAAAACAUGUGCUUAAAAUAUGGGGAAUUUCUUUACUUUCUUGCCUUGCUACAUAAAAAGGUUGAAAACAGAAAUCAUGAGAUCAUCCGAUGUGAACAUUUGUAAGCAAAUCCUACAGAUACUGGGCCGAUGUGGGUUUACCACAACACCUGCAGUGAUCCUCACAUUGUCUUAAACUUUGCUUGAAAGUGACAAUUGUAUGGAGACCAUCUAUGACUCAAAACACUCAUCUGAUGCAUUAAGAGGGUUGAAAGAAACUCCAAUGACAGUUUUUACAAAUGCUGGCAUUCAGUGGAGGGCACAUACCACGAAUAAAAGGGAAGGUUAAAGCAGCCAGUUUGAAGUGAAAACUAAAGCGAAGGCUUUACACAAUGCUCGCACUGCAAGAUGCGUGUUUCUCCUACUUUGAAGAAUAAAUCUGACAGAAAAUUACCUCACUAGAAGAAUAUAACGUGUUGAGUGACUGAUACAGUGAUGAUCACAUUAGAGAAAAUCAAGCAAAAAUAUUCAGCCAGUCCUUUUCAAGCUGAUAUGAAAAUGGAUUGUUGCAACAAAAAAAAAAAAAAAAAAAGAGUUUGGGGUCUUUUCUGGCUGUUAAAUUGGAUGUGCAUAUGACAAUUUUCAAAGGCUAUCAAAAUAAAAAAAGGGGGGAGAAGAAGAAAGGGUUGGAAAAAAUACAUUUACAUCAUAAAUGCACAGGUUCCCUUUCAAUAGGCCUCUUCAAAACUCUGUCAGGCUUUUAAUGGUAGGCAAGUUCAAAGUGGCACUAGACUCCCACUGCUUCCAGAGAUAGAAGUGUGUGUGUGUGUCCACACCCACAGUACCGUGUGAACUCAUACCGUCCUCCGUCUGUCCCAGAUCCUCAACCCCCUUUUGCUGGCGCUAUUGUGUCUGUGUUUGUACAUGUAUCUGAUUGAAGGGUGUGUACGGAGAACUGAUGGCAGGCGCUUCUUUGUCACUCUCAUUGUUCCCCUCCUCUACCUCCGUGAUCACUCUUCUUUCACCCCCCCCCCCUCUUCCUCCCUUACCCACUCAGCACCCCGUUCUCCAGUUCCAUCCACGUUUUUAUUUACGUGAUUUGCUUCCCUCCCUCUGGUUUGUCCGGGACUGUUGGCGAGGGAUCGCUGGAAAUGGUGUCUUGGGGAGCGUUGCUAACGUUGUGAAAGUGCUCCGGAUCCCAGCCGCCAACCCGCCAACCCGCCGUGCCCCACGGUGAUAGCCCCGCAUCAAAGCCACAAAUCUCACCCUUUUUUCUUUGCCUUCCUCCACUUUCUCCUUUUUUUUAUUUUUAUUUUUUAUAUAAAAGUGGCGCUUCUAGCUGCUCCGAAUGUUUAAACUCCAUCUAUCGGCCUCAUUACGGAGCCUCAAAGCUUUGCGUCGAUUCUAAAGGCGCUCAUUUGAAUUUUUAAUCACACGUAUGUACGACUGCUGCGCUAAGCAACUAUCCAUCUGCAAGCAUCCACACAGACACACACACACACACGUAUCUCCGCUCCUUCAGCUCGUUCAAAGUGCUCUGCCUCUCAACUUUGCAAGUUCUUUUUAAAAGUCCCAGCUAAUGUUGCUGCGAUGAGUUUGAGUUUGGAUUGAUAAGCGGCAAUACGCGGUUCAGCCUCCUUUGUGAGCACAGUGGCAUCGCUUGUAGGCGACAGAGGGCUCGACUCGCGUUAACAGUGCCAUUUGAUUGCCUAGCCAAGGAGUUGCUUUAGCGUUACUGUUCUCUUUGAUGUCAAAAAUGUAGCUUGAGCGUAGAAAAUAUUAUAUAAAAAUUAUACACUUACACAUCACUCAAUCCCCCUUGGUGGAUGUACUUUAGCUAUGUAGGGCCUACUCACGCUCAGUUACCAUGUGCAUACAAAGUCCUGGCUAAGCUACAGAGAGACUUUGUCACUCGCGCAAUAACAGGGAGAGGGAGAAUGAAUCCUUUAGAUCUUCCUGCAAGAAGUACACCUUUGAAUCUGAAUUUCCUUGCAGAAAAAAGUGCUUUGAAAAUCUAAUGCAUAAACAUUAUCUUCUUUCCCCCACCCUUCUACAUCUUGCUCCCUCCAUUCCCUCCCUUCACCUAUGAAGCGCUCAAGCUUCUGAGCGACUUUGGAAGAACUCCCCUUUUUUAGAGUCCUCAGUAACUUAAAUAAGAGGCGGUCGGGGAUUUGGAUAUUGUUAUGUCUCAUCAAAGGCAGAGAUCCUCAGCGAGCCUCCAUUGCCUGUUCUCUGGCUGUCUGUCAACGCCCAGUCUUCAAGAAAGAUGCCUCUGCUCAAGACUGAUGUACUGUAAUUUGAUAUAUUCCCCGCUCCCUCUACCCUACUCUGGGGCUUUUUGAGGAAUCUUUGUUGGGGUACAGGCGAGCUCGGGGGAGUGCAGGCGCCGAUUCAGUCGCUUACUCAACCCAUUUUACACCAUAAAACAACACAGUAACCAAUGACUAAGGUUAUACUUUCUGCAACCUAUUCACGUGUAAAUAAACCCACUUCUAUUUAUUUUUUUUAAACAAGAAAGCUACUGUUUUUUUUAAUCUUUCUCGAGUUCAAUUCUUCUCCGAAACCUUUGCUGCAGAGCAGUUCUGCAAGCAUUCAGUCAGUGUCCAUAUGAUCACAUUUUCCAACAGCAUAAAAUACCUACAGCAUGCUACUGGAAAAUGCUGCUUUCACAGUUUUCAACGAGGUAAAAAAAUAUAUAUUUUUCUAACAUGUAAUGUAUGUAAUUGACAGCAACUCGCUUCUGUCCAUGCAUUUUGUUUUACCUUCACACGGUGGGCAGCAAGGAGGAAAGUUUGUGCCUUUCUGCUGUGGUUGCUGUUGUCUUUUCUGCCUCUCUCCCUCUGUCCAGAGCUGAUGGAUCCUAACGAAAGCCUCGUGGUAACGAGCAUGGGAACCAUGCUGGGACGCCAUCUCAUUGGUUGAUAGGGACUGAGUUUGAUUCAGUGAAUGCUACCCAUAUGUCGCCCCCCCCACCACCAUCCCCCUUUCCCUUUGCACCUGCUGCUGUGAACAGCAGGAUCCCAGUGUGUGUUUCUGUUCAUCUCUUGCGUUUCUCUGUGCUCUCACCACUCCAUCCCUCCAUCCCUUGCUUUCAUGUGUGCUCUGCUGUCAAGCGCAGCUGGAUGGGGCCGACCAGCCUCGUCACAUACAGUCUUUGUUGGUGUGGAUAUAAGCAGUUCAAGUGCAGUGGUAAGGCAUCUAUUCGAAAAUGAUACUGACUGACAAAGUAAACAUUUUUUAGUCAUUGGGCUGCAAUAGUUUCAAUGUAAAAUCUUUUCAUAAUAUAUAUUACUUAAACCUCUCGCUUUCUGGAAUGUACCACUUAGGUUAGGUUCGAAUGUUUUUUUUUUUUUCGAUAUUUCAAGCAAUUAUUAUUUUUAAAACUAAGCAGCGUUGUUUUUGGAAAAGUUAAUUGCCAGUUGUCCCCAUGGGGCCCUGGACAGCAUCACUGGCAAUCGUAGUUUCUAAUUUGCUUGCUGUUCGGAUCUGAUGUUUAGUCUUUACAUUAAAUACAUUACUGUAAACAAGGUUAUUAAUUAAUGUUGAUAAUAAUAAUAAUAAGACACCCACCUGACAUCAGGGACUAAUAACCAAACUUUGAAUCAAGUCUCACUCGGAUUCGACACAUGGUCAAAGCACUACUGCACAUUAAGAAUUCAAAAGCUUUGAAUUUGAGCACAGGCCACAAUAUCCUGGUAUUAUCCAGGUCAAUACUAUUUUAAAGAACAACUACUAUUAUACAAUUACAAGUCUAGUACCAAAAAACAACAGACAAUCACAUGGAGAGAGAGAGAGUGCAUGUGUGUGUGUGCGCAUGCGUGCGUGUGUGUGUGUGUGUGCCAGAAAACUACCAAAUGGACAUUAUCCAACAACUGUUUCCACUGUUGUUGCAUUUACAACCUCCAUGGCAGACGGUUUCUGAAGGGAUUAAAUUCUAUUUAGCCUUUUGGUUCCUGGAAUGUGACACAAAAAUUGAAAUUUGUGUUCUGUGUUUUUAUUCCUUGAUUGCAUUGUUAGUCCUUUUUUAAAUGCAAACAUUUUGAAAAAUCCAGCUGAACUACACUUUUUCGGCAAUGACUCCAUCAAGUUUCACAUGAAUCAGUGACAUUGAGUCAGUGUGCACGAGGACAGGAGCUGGGACCUCACUCUCCUAAAUGGAAAGCACCUAAAUAUUAUCAAUUACACUUGUGCCUUUGUUAUUACUACUUUCCCUUCCUACGACAAGCCCAAAUGUCCGAUGUGAAAGAGGUCAAUUCCUCUGCUCAGCGUGUCCACUGAUACACAGACAUCCAUGGAGACACAAAUCCAAACUAUCCUCCAUCAAACUUCCUCCUGAUUUACUGCAAAACAUCCGCCACUUUCUUGAUGUUUCAUUAACAUGCCAAGAAAAAAGGGAGAAAAACAUCAAAGAUGAACGCUUCAACAAUCAGCCAUCACUCAAUUAGUGCUCGACAAUUUCUCUCUCAUGCGCUCCAGCGCAGGGCGCUGAAGAGGAGCGGCGAAGUCUUUGAAAAAUCAUAUUUUUCCUUUUAUCACUUCAUCUCAUAGCAAAACAAUUUCCUCCUAUUAUCCGCGCAGCAGGGGGUCCACUGUCCUGUAAAGGUGUACCGCAACGCCUGAUAGGCGGAGAGGAGAAGACGCUUUUAUUCUUUGCACCUCGUUCCGCGGAUACAUUAAACAGAAUCAAAGACGACAUUUACAUACCAUUUGUGUUUCAUGUUUGAGGAGUUGAGACAGAAACAGCGCUCAUCUCGUGUGAAAGUAAAAAUGCUUUGACUUUCUGAACUUUUGCAGAGGGAGCGGCAGGAUGGAGGGAUGUUGGGAGGAUGGAGAGGGAGAUGAGGAGGGAAAUGAGGAGCGAGUUUACUCUCAGUAAGUUUUUCUACGCAGUGCUCUUUGUCGUCUUGUCACCACGUCUCCUCCUUCUCAUCCAACUCACCCGUGAACAUGUCAUCAAUUAGUGACAAAAGCCUUUGAGUAAGACUUCAUUUUUCUCUUGUAAUCGUUGUCUUCACGUUCAGAGUAAUUCAUGAUAUACUUGACUUGCUACAAGACACAUUUGCUCACUAAUGUGUGAGUUGACCUGAAAGAGGAUGACAUCAAUAUGCAGAAUGCAUCUUAAUUACCGAAUCGAAAAUACAUUUCAAGUCUUGUAAGCGUAUUGUUAUAAACCUUUUCACUCCAGAUGUUUUGACAUGUCAUAUAUCUGUAUUGGUCUACCCUCUGUUAUUUAUUGGUUGUUGUCACAUUCUAGUAGUUGGCCAGUUGGUGACUUGGUUUGUUUUAAACCAUCCAGAGAUGCUUUGACUAAAUCUUUGUUGUUUUACUUUCUCUAUAUUGUGUGUAAAUUGUUGGGCUAUUGUAAGAGAGCAUGUUUGACGAUCUCUUGGCAAACAUAAAGCCAACGUUCAUGCAAUGCAAUUUGGUUGUAUGCUGAUAUGCAGCAAAACAAUGAAAAAAAGGAAGAACAUGGUGAGUAAAUUGGACGGGGAGACGCAACUGUGAUGAUUACACAUAAAUGAUCACAAACGCCACCCACUGAUACUUACGUCGGCCCUGACCUUGUGGCGGAAUUAGCUUUAGGUCGUCAUUUACGGCCAAACUUGACGGUUUACAAGCUGAAAAGUUAACUGAUCAACUUGAAAUUCUCUCUUCGCCUGUAGGGGUUUAACAAACCACAUAAUAGAACAUUUUAGUAUCUUCUCAGUCAUUGUGUUGGUUUAACUAACCAGAUCUCAAUUUCUUUACUCAGUCUAACUGAAGCACGAAAGUCUUUCAAAGGAACCCUUUAGGAACUGAUUUAUGUUCCUUGUGUCUUGGUGGAUAGAGACAUUUGUUUGGAACAAGAAAAAUGUUGUCAUUUCUUCGAGUAAAUAAGCUUCAUAAGGAUGUCGCUUUUUUGUAAGUGUCUAAACAAAUCAAUCAGGGUCAAAUGAGCGGAAGUUUGGCAACUAUGCUGUUAUUGUUGCUUCCUCAUCUGAACAUUUGAUGGUUCAACCAUCAUGAUGGUUUGAUGUUUGUGUCUCCUCCGCCUUCAUCACGCCAAAGGGCCACAGGCUUCUGACGUAGAUGGAGUCAAAUUGUUGCACCUUCUUUUCAUUGAUGGUAAACUUGACUCCUCUGUCCUCAUAUACUAGUUUUCAUUCACCACUUUGAGUAUCAAACCCUCCAACCUCCAUUUCCGUCCUCUGCCCCCCGACUCCUCUGGUAUUUAGCUCUUCUGUCUCUCCCUCCAUUUUGCUCUAUUUCCCCUCUACGUUCCUGCACCUUUUUUUUUUAAAUCCCUCCCUCCCCUCCUUCCCUCUAUCUCUCCGUUACACCCCCCUCCCUCUCUCUCUACCCCCAUUCAGGUUUCAUGAAGUCUGCUCUUGUGUAAUCUCCCUGCGAUCAGGCCCUCUCACCUCCCGUCUCUCUCUCUCAGGUGUGUCCUCCAACACAGAGCCAUUGUUCUCCGGAUCCUCCGCUGAAGCCUGCCUGGCACAAGCACACACCUGCAACCAACAAAGAUGCCUCUAUUCACCUCACACACACACACACACGCACGCACACCUGAACGUCACGCAGAGGAUCGAUCUCGCCGAGCAGCAUCUGAAUACAGAGGGAUCUAAAUCACCUUUGUCGUUUUCUCUGGUGCCAGAAUGAAAUAGAAGAGAAAGUAGCCGGUUGAGGGAGGAAGAGGAGGGAGUGAGUGGAGGAAAACGGCACCGAUAACACGGCCAAGUUGUUUGCACAAGCUGGUUUCAUAUUCGAUUGCAUCGGCCAGAGGACGGGCUGGGUCGCUGCACAGAGGAGGAGCAGUGGUGCACUCUGGGACAACGAGCUGUUGCACCAAUGGCGGCUGGCGGUUAAUGUUUAGUAUACGUAUCCGGGUCACAGACGCAACUCUACUCGCGUUCUCUUUUUCCGUAGUUUGACUUUACACUGUCUCAAAAAUCAAAAGCGAAGACUAGGGGGGGAAUUUCCGAUGCACCUGCUGCAGUUCAUGUUUAGGGAAAUAGUGUAACUAAUCCUCUGACGUCAAUGUGCACCUUAGGGCCUAAAAGGGCGAAAGGGACGCAGAAAACCGAGGCAGAGGGGAAAGAAAACGGGACAGAAUGAAGGAAGAGGGAGGUGGUGGAGGUGUGGGGCACAAGGCAGAGGAGCUGCGACAACACGGGAGGUAAAGUAAAGAUUAAUAGAAGGAGAGCAAAAGGAAGGAGCCGUGUCUCUUGUUGCCGGGUUGUCACAUCGGCAUCACCUGUUUGCGGGGCGACGGCCUGCAGGCAGACUUUUCAAGGUCUCAGAUAGCAGCCCGUGUGCGCGUGUUAGAGGAACAUGGAGUCAGCUCUGGUUUUCAUACAGCUUCACCUCCCCGUGUACAGUAAACACACCGGCUUGCCGGAGGACGACACGCAGACCUCAGGUUAGAUGGUGAGCGAGCGAGGUGUGUUUUUUUCUCUCAUCUCGUAACUGCACUGAUCCUCACAUUCUCAUUCUCAUUAACGGACUCAAAGGCAGGAAGGAGGAGGCUGUUGGAGACGAGCGCGAGUCCCAUCACACAGGGUGUGUUGGGCCGUGUGCGGCACAGUGCAGCUGGAGUGCACAGGAAGGUUAUCGCUUUCUGUGGGUUAAAUUAGGAGACCCACUUUUGUUUUGUUUUUUGCAUCGCAGUUCACAACCUCAGCUUUCUGGUUCCAGUACUUUUGCCUCUACUCCAAUUUGCGGUGGGAACACUGUAUGUUGUGAAGUAUUUCGAGAAUAACCUAAGUGGGUUAUGCGCCUCUCUGACGUUGGAACAUGGGGAAAAGGGGGAGGGAUAUGAGUGAACAGGAGGGGUAUGGGUGUGGGGAGCGGAUGGGGG